rnacentral:misc_RNA from 1 species
GAUGAAGAACGUAGCGAAAUGCGAUAAGUAAUGUGAAUUGCAGAAUUCAGUGAAUCAUCGAAUCUUUGAACGCACAUUGCGCCCGCCAGCACUCUGGCGGGCAUGCCUGUUCGAGCGUCAUUUCAACCAUCAAGCCCCCGGGGGCUUGUGCUGGGGCCCUGCGGCUGCCCGCAGGCCCUGAAAACCAGUGGCGGGCUCGCUAGUCACACCGAGCGCAGUAGCACAUCUCGCUCAGGGCGUGCGGCGGGCUCCUGCCGUGAAACCCCCCACUGUAACCCCAAAGGUUGACCUCGGAUCAGGUAGGAAUACCCGCUGAACUUAAGCAUAUCAAUAAGCGGAGGA